CCUUCAUCAUUAAUACAGUAUAUAUGGAAUGUACCAGCUCAAGUUGUUAAUAUUAGUUGGGAUCAGAUAUCAACUGAUAGUAUUACAGUAUGGUGGAAUAACACUCAAGAUCACACAUUACACUAUCCACCAG